GCUCCGGUGACCUAGUGGUUAGAGUGUCCGCCAAGGAUGCGAGAGGUCGUGGGUUCGAUUCCCUGUCGAGUCA